AAGGCCUGAUGUGUGUGAGAUUACCCGCUGAAUUUAAGCAUAUAAGUAAGCGGAGGAAAAGAAACUAACUAGGAUUCCCUUAGUAAUGGCGAAUGAACAGGGAUCAGCUCAGUGCCAAAUCGGAAUCACUUGUGGUUCUGAAAUGUGGCUUGAAGGCAGUACCAGUGGCAUCGCGGACGAAAGUCUCUUGGAAAAGAGCGUCAUAGAGGGUGAGAAUCCCGUGAGUCGUUCGCCGUUUGUCACGUACGGUCUGCGUUCUAACGAGUCGC
rfam:Perkinsus marinus ATCC 50983 gcontig_1104296762468, whole genome shotgun sequence.